CACCACUCAACAUCUCCAAAAACCAACAUCAGCGCGCGCUUCCGGCUUUCAUCGGCCAGCUUAAAAGGACGUGCUGCGCCAGGGCCAGCCAAUCCCCGUCGCACGUCACGGCACGCUCAAUCAGGGCGGGACUUCCGGUAACAAGGAGAGCGAGAGAGAGAAGGAAGGGUGAUAGAAGGUGCGUUCGAGCUCAUGCUGCGCUGUGCAGUUCGAUCGGCGAGAUUAGCCGGAAGCAGUCGGGGAGGAGCUGAAAACGGAGCCGUCAAGUCGGACACGUUGGGGAUCUCGUUGCCUCCUCAAACAUGGCAGAUCAUGUGGCGUUUGCCUACUUUAUUGCAGAUGAACUGGAAGCUAUAGAAAUACCUUUUUUUGUUGGAAGAAAUGCAGCAGGAUGAACAACGACGUCUUAGGUGCCAUACCUUGUGAUUCAGGGCGGUCUAUCUGGACGGAGGAUGGGUUUCUGGCUCCUGAAGGAUUACCACCCACUGCAUCGGUUUUUAGGGUGGUAGUCGGUAGGUCCUGGCUAAUAGGUGUCUGUUGCACAGGGCACUGGCUGGUUGGUGGUUUCACAAAACUGAGAUUUAGGGGUAGAGGUGACUCAGUGGAGGUAGAGAAGGAGGUGGGGAACACUGCAGCACAAGCUAGAUCGCUGAUACUGUAGGAGCUAUUUAGAGAAAAAGCUGAAAAUUUAGUUGUCACUUAUGUGUCCAGUAUGUGUUUGUUCAUCACAAGUGUUUACCUUGUUUUGUGUCAACGGCUGUAACUUUUGCCAUGACAUCAGAGAGGAACAUCUGGGGAAAUGCUCAAAACUAUCACACAGUCCUCUCUCUGGAACUUUCUUGAAGGUCUCCAUUGACUAUGCCUUUCUAAACUUGUUUUGUGAUUUGUUUUUAUUUUUGUCUUUGCAUUUAAGAAUUUAUAGCCAUUAGAAUGUUGCCUGUUGUUAAGAUACCUGUACCACUGCUGUUGUUUUGUUGAAAAAUUUAAUAAAAAUCACACAUCAUUGUUAA